GGGCGAGGCCUUCCAUGGUUUAAUUGAAUCAAUCCUCCUCUUGUUCGGUUGUAGGUAGGGAAAUCUGGAAGGUAUGAGCACAUGGUUUCCAUUACCUGCUUGUGAAAUACUCUUAACAUCUGUUCAUAUGGAUAUCCAUAGGGCAAGAACAUCCUCAAGCGGGUGAGAAGCAACUGAGCACCAACAUGCUUGUUGUCCCAGCUAAGCAUGCCACUAUGUCGACCUCCCCCAGAUGCAUCAACCUUUUUGGCCAAAAGAGGGCUAGUGACGAGCUCAAGAUAGGAAGAAU
rnacentral:lncRNA from 1 species